GAGAGAGAGAGAGCGAGAGAGAGCGAGCGCCGGGAGAGGAGCUGUUCAUAUUUCACUGCUUGCCGAGAAACGACCAUUUACAUGUUGGAUUCUGAAUCAUUUUAAAGAAAAAGACUCGACUCCCGACGGAAUUGAACUCUUUCUCGUUUUGAGCCGACCUCCAAAGAUCAACCACGAUUCGAAACCACAGACGUGUCCUGCAGCCAUGAGGAGCAGUGGAGAUCGCUAAGAAGUACUUGUCAUGCUUAAAAGGAAAAAGGGCUGUAACACGGCGAACUUCAGACGGACGCCAAGCGACAUUAUAGAGACAAAAUUAGUCUUCUUGACAGUGUGGAUCCAUACGAUCUCCCAAACGGAGUGGAGUAAUACUCUGGAUGUGCCUCCUUUUACCCGGUAUUCACACUCGCAGGUCAUAAGCCGCUCAUGUGGUUUGUAGUUUGCCUUUUGUGGGCGUGUACCAUCCAGCCAAAAUGUCUAGCCUACAGUCCACGAUACGAUUUUUACACACCACUUUUGUUUAAAAUGUAUUUAAGUUUGAUCAGUCCUCGAUCACUCCUACUUCCUUCCAAGCUUUAUUUCUCUUUCGAAUGUCUCCUAUACACAUUUAAUGGGAGAGCCACACCUCCUUCACUGACACUCACAGAUGCCACACCUCCUUCACUCAGACUGAUGGCUACAGAGGCCACACCUCCUCCAGUGACAGCUGCAGAGGCCACACCUCCUUGACUCAGACCGACCGACAAAAGGACAGCAUUUCUAAUUCAGUCCAGCCAAGUCAAACGCUGUUCAGUUGUCUGUGAGCAAUUUUUAAUUACUACUUUCCCCGGCGUUUAAUUAUGGGCUGUUUGAGUCAUGUCGUCAUGGCAAAUUGCUUUAAUUUGAGGAAUGCACUGCAUAUAAGCUACAGUGCACAUGCAUGCACUUAAAAUGAGUCACUGGUCUCAGACAGCUGCUUCUUUUAACCAGGAGAUUAAUAGUCACAUGUCCACGUAAACAUAACCUAAACGUAACAUAAUAAAAUGUAAACAUAAUAAUAAUAAUAAUAAACAUAAAAAUACAAUUCCAUGUGAGCGAGAAGUUUGUUUUGGUCAUUUCGACAGCUUGAAUUCCUGAGCGAUGUUAACGUCGCAAGUUGAUCACGUUUACACCUUUAAAACGUUGUUGACUCUUGGCCCAAAUAAAGAGCUGUUCAUGCGUUUAUCGUGUCCUGAUCGAUCGCUGCCGUCACGUGCGAGUGCUCGAACCCGUCCGUAAUAGACUUCGGAGGUGGAAGUUUUGGAUAGGCGAGUCUGACGCAGAGUGUAAUCACAAUUCUAACCGCACAGUUGAUUCUUAACAUUUACCAACACAUUUAAUGGAAAUGUUGACGGCUCGAUUCCUGAUGGGGUUUGUGUUGUUUUCUCCGCCUUUGCAUCGUUCGAGGAAACGUUUUAACAGCUAGUUAAUUAAAUCUUUAGCAUCAGUCAAUAGCUAGCUCGUGGGCAGCGUCCAUAUUUCCUAGUUGCCUAGCAACAGGGAUCCCACAACAUUGGUUUUAGCGGUUAGUGUACUCGCACUCUGCGUUAAAAGCACAAAUUCGCGCUUUGCUUUUUGAGUGCACCAUAACCAUUAGGAAGGGGGUGUGUGUGUGUGUGUGUGCACGAUACCUCAGCAUCCCUGCACUCUGCCCUCAGCAUGCCGCAUCAGGGCAUUCUGGGUAAAAUGUGUACCGUGUUGCCAUGGUGAUGGAAUUUUGGACCACGGGAUGUGUACAGUGGACAAAGUCACCAUACCGCAAACACACACUUGUAGACAGAUAGACACGGCCACUACGGAUGUACAUACCGAUGUUAACAUGUAAGUAUGCAUCAUGGGAACACACACACACACACACACACACACACACACAGCUUAUUCCUCGCACAUCACAACUCAUACAUGAGGAAAAGAUUAGGCUGGUCUAUAUGCAGGGGAGACGAAUAUUGAUUGUGUGCCCCUCGCUCUCACUCUCGCUCUCACACACACACACACACACACACACACACACACACACACACACACACAGACUACGUUUUCAUGCAAGCAAAUAAUCUGAUAGUAAUCUGAAAAGCCUUCAUGUAAACACCUUUAUCGAUCCGAUUGAGCUCGUUCCGAAUGCAGUUCCGAUCGGAUUGGAAGAGGCGGUCUGUCAGAUUCAAAAAUACCAAGUGCAACGGCGCGUAGGUUCACGUCUUAAAUAUGGCGUCCGCCGGAAAGAACCGGUCGAUGGAGGAGACCAGAUAAUUUUCUGAGCAUACUAAAAGACGAAAAGAUUGUGGAGAGACUGGACGGAAGAAAAGUUCGUAAUAACGAUCUCUUGGAUGAAGUGUUUGAGGAAAUUCAGCUUGGCUUCAGGAUUCAGUCGGUCAGUAGAACAAAUGAAAAACCAUGGUAACAGGCUUCUAUACGUCAACAAAGCAACACAACAAAUCCUAUUAGGUCAUUUGGUGUCACGUCCGUGACGUUCUUUCUCCGCUAUUGUAUGGUUGGCAUGACGACAGACUCUUGGGCAGAAGCUUUGUUUGUAUCGCACGUGUAAACGAAUAUUUGAAUCAGAUUGCAAUGUUUAGGGCAAAUAAAAACAGAUCUGCAAUCGGAUUGACGAAAAUGGGUGUACGCAUGCAUACACACACUAAAGGGGAUGCCAGUCUCUGCUACACACUCCAUCAAUAGUUAUCAAUUCAGCUCUAGUUGCUCCAUUCACCAUGCAGGACAUGCUUCAUCAUAUUGUGUGUGUGUGUGUGUGUGUGUGUGUGUGUGUGUGUGUGUGUGUGUGUGUGUGUAAGCCGGUUAGCUUGGCAUUACGAGUACACACAGACAAAAACAGCAGCUGUCAGCUCACACUUAUCAAAUUUAUUGCGACUCUAUUGUCUAACCCAGUACAGAGGUGCCUGAAGGCACCGUCUCUCACUCACACACACACACACACACACACACACGCACGCACACACACACAGCCUAACUGUCGUUAUUCAGCAGAGGGACGUUAUAUCGCACCACUGUGUGCUCCAUAAAUGCAGAAAUGCCUUCUAAACAUUUUCCAGUGCCUCACUCGUGUGUGAAGGUGUGGAGGGAGUUUCUCUGGCUGUGUUCCAAACCGAAUCACACCUAAAGGAACAGAGCCAAAGAUUACAUUCAGCCGCAUUCCCACUUUACCCGAAAUCUAGUCGAUGAGCCGAGAUGUUUGAUUUCCGAAGCCGGAUUCUUUAGCUUUGCGUUGGCGCUACAAGGCGAGUAAGCUAUUAGUUUAUGGAAACGAAAGAAUGGCGCUGGCCGCCAUCUUGGAGCUGGCCUCACUUUCUUUCUGAAAGCACCAAUUCAGAUUGGAUUAGUU
ensembl:lncRNA